UUAAGCAUAUAAGUAAGCGGAGGACAAGAAACUAAACAGGAUCCCCAUAGUAAUGGCGAAUGAACCGGGAUAAACUCAGCAUGGAAAUUGGGGCCUUUGGCUUUGACUUGUAAUCUGGUGAGGCAUUGCCAACAGAGGCGCAUAUGUAAGUCUCUUGGAAAAGAGCAUCAACGAAGGUGAGAGUCCUGAUUGUCAUGUGCAGCCCCCCUGUGCACGGUGUGCCUUCUAAGAGUCACGUUCCUUGGGAUUGGAGCGCAAAUUGGGUGGUAACUUUCAUCUGAAGUUAAACAAUGGUUUGGGACCGAUAGGAAACAAGUACCAUGAGGGAAAGGUGAAAAGGACUUUGGAAAGAGAGUUAAAAGUGCCUGAAAUUGCUGAAGGGGAAGCGAAUGGAACCAGUGGUGCUGGGUGAGAUUGUCACAUGCUGCAAGGAUUGGUUGCUGCCACAACGCAAGUGUGCUGGCAAUUUGUGAACUGCUAGUGUGUGGUGUGUCUUACCUAGUGGGUCAUUGUGGGUUUAUGCAUUAAGAUAAAUCAAAGCAAGCGGGAGCAAGUUUACGAGUUUGUGAAUGUGUGUUGUUAUGCUUGUGCGUAAGCUUUAGUGUUUGUCUGGCUGCAGGGCUGUCCAUCCUCAAGCUUUGCUGUGGUUGCGAUGAGCAUAACCUUCUGCA
rnacentral:rRNA from 1 species